AUGGCGAAGCGCAAGUCGAUGAGCUCCAAGAUGGCUCAGCGGAAGAAGCCAGCGUCCAAGCUGGACACGGCCUUCUGCUGCCCCUUCUGCAACCACCCCGGCAGCGUGUCGUGCACCAUCGACCUCAAGCUCUACGUCGCCACCGCCGUCUGCUACGGAUGUCAGGAGUUCUACCACACCACGGCGCACCACCUCACCGAGCCCGUCGGCAUCUACCACGACUGGAUCGACGCCUGCGAGAUGGCCAACCAAGGCAUCGAACUCCAAGCCCGACAGCGGCGAGUCGGCUGCGACGACGACGACAGCGAUGCCUGA
rnacentral:rRNA from 1 species